AUUGAACGCUGGCGGCAGGCUUAACACAUGCAAGUCGAGCGGGGGAAGGUAGCUUGCUACCGGACCUAGCGGCGGACGGGUGAGUAAUGCUUAGGAAUCUGCCUAUUAGUGGGGGACAACAUCUCGAAAGGGAUGCUAAUACCGCAUACGUCCUACGGGAGAAAGCAGGGGAUCUUCGGACCUUGCGCUAAUAGAUGAGCCUAAGUCGGAUUAGCUAGUUGGUGGGGUAAAGGCCUACCAAGGCGACGAUCGGUAGCGGGUCUGAGAGGAUGAUCCGCCAUACUGGGGCUGAGACACGGACCAGACUCCUACGGGAGGCAGCAGUGGGGAAUAUCGGACAAUAGGGGGAACCCUGAUCCAGCCAAGCCGCGUGUGUGAAGAAGGCCUUAUGGUUGUAAAGCACUUUAAGCGAGGAGGAGGCUACUUUAGUUAAUACCUAGAGAUAGUGGACGUUACUCGCAGAAUAAGCACCGGCUAACUCUGUGCCAGCCGCCGCCGUAA
rnacentral:rRNA from 1 species